UUUAUGUAACGGGGGUGGGUGGAAAAAAUAAAGAGUAUGGCGGUCUUUAAUCUCGUCAGAGGGACAUGUAUUUUAAACGAAUCUGCGCGAAAAUCUUUCCUAACAAAGAAUAUUAUUUCAUCUUGUACACCGCUGUCUGAAAGGAAUUGCAAAGGCAUUUUCUUUAUUCUUUUAAAGAAAUAAGGCAAGUUGAGGUGCAGACUAUGGUUAGGGCAAUAUGUGUUCCAAUAUGAACUGUGGUUUAAGGGAUGAAAAGCUUUGAAAAAGAGAAUUUGAUAGUAAGGUUGGAUAUCCCACUAACCUGAAGAAGGGCUAUAAAAGGCGU
rnacentral:rRNA from 1 species